CACAUCCUAGUUAGUAUGCAAAGAGAAGAGUAGUAUGUUGGCACUGUAGGGAUCAGCCAAUAAAUUCAUGUCAACACCAGGUAGGCGGGGCGGUGCUUUGCGGGAUCCCCAGCACGCAUCAGACGUCAGCAGAGGGAGCGUUUUUAAAGAGCUGUGCGACGGAUGUCUGGUGUCGGAGUAUUGUCGCUUCCACAAGUAGUAAUGUGUUUUGCACUAAAACUCUCAAGACUGACGCUACUUCUGCUAAGUAUUCAGGAUUUGUCUCCUUGCCUGUGUUUCCUUGCACUAGCCUGUCCCGCUACCUGCUCGCCCACCUGUUGUUUUGGAAAUUGUGUUCCCUGAUCUAAAAGGGAGAUCUGCCUCGCCUCUGCCUGUGGUUCCAGAAGGUCACCGUCCACGUUUGCAUUUUCAGUGUGUCAAAUCGCUCCAGUACGCCACCAAUACUCCGACACGCCCUGGGAUCUGUGUUUUGUUUUCUUCCCCUCCCACGUUGACCUUGUCACUGUAAAUAGCCCUGACCCUUGUAAAUACCCCUAUCACUGUAAAUAAACAACA